UCUCAUGUCAAUUUGCCUCUUAGACGGGCUGGAAAAACCUUAAGGGCAGAGGAAAAGUUUUCGUCGCGGUCACUCCAGGACCCCAGGCUCACGGAGCGGCCUCCCCGGGGAGCAGCGGGUCUGCGGCGGAGAGAACUACAAGCGCGACGGGGCGCGGCCCAUUCUUAGGUUUCUGUCCCCACGCCAUCCGCAAAGCGGUGACCUUCCGGCCGCCCCCGACGACAGCGAGCGAAUGGGAAUCCUCCUUCGGGAGGCAGCGGCCGUGGAGGCGGGCAGACACUGAACCUGACGGAGGCCUGCAGGCCGUCGCCACGUUGGAAGGAGGGAGCCCCCCGCGGAGCCCAGGUCCCAGGCGGCCGGAGAUGCGGCUCAUUCUCCCGCUGCGGCGCCGCGAAGGGUGUUCAAAACAGUUGUCUCUGUGAUGAAUCUUCACCGGCGUAGUGGUGAAACGUGCUGGAUGUGUUAGGCCGUGGUUAUCUCCGUACUGAAGUGCAUGGGCCUUAAGAAGGUAACGCUGGCCUCAGCAACAUGAGACCCCUAGAAAUGAAGAUGACUGAAUGGUUUGAAGUAUGCUAAUAUACAGGAAAUGCUGGUGCAGGCAGUUCUUCUAAAUACAGUUAUUCAGAAUCCAGGACUGAGAUCGGGGAGCUUCCAGAUCGGUGAAUCCAUGGAGACUUGGGGAGAAAGCUGUGCUCCAAGAGAGAGCAUGGGAGCUCCAUGCCCUUCCCACACACCCUGCCCUACGCAUCUCUUCCGUCUGGCUGUUCCCGGAUGAUAUACUUCAUAAUACACUGGGGAUCUACAAACAUAAGCACAACAACACGUACUGUUCUGGAGAAGUUACGAACGUUCUGCCAGCACUGGGUGUGUAAGAUAUGAUUCAUAGUGAUGACACAGACGGUGCCCCACUCAGAUGUCUACCUGCCCUGCCAAAAUCAAGUGUAUACAAAACUAACCUCAUCAUCUACCAUCAUAAAACUAGUUUUUUUCUCUGUCACAAUGAAUAGCACGUCCCUCCACCCAGGAGUUGAUGGGAAAGCCAGGGUGAAGGUCUUGGCAUUUCUGUAAUGUCAACAUAUCUUGUUAUUUCUAUCUACAGUCUACGUAUCUGAAUCCAUCCUCUCCAGCUGCGUUAGCACCGCCUCGUCCAAGCCGCCACCAUCUCUCUCUUACCAUAAACACAGUAACCGCCUUGUUUGUUUCCCUACCAUGAUUCUUGAAUCAGAAUCGGUUUCCCAUACUCUUCAGCAAGCAUUUUAAAGUCAAAUCUGCCUCCCCACCUCGCGCUGUAAUCCCUCAGUGGCUUCCGGGAUUAGAUUAUUGCAGAAAAGCUCUCCCCUCACCCCGCCUCCCUAGAGGGUUGUCUGCCUGCGCCCCAUUGGUGUUGGGUGUGGGCACGUGGCUCGUUUUGGCCAAUGGGAUGUUAGCUCAUGUGCCACAAAGCAGAUGGCCCUUUUGGAAGAGUUGAACAUGGUGGAUCUUUGAACUUUGUGUGUAACUUGCUUAUUUUGGGACGUAAACCCUACGGACCUUCUCAGAGUCCCUGGAUGACUUCCUCCUUUUUUUUUUUUUGCUGGGCUCUCAACCUUCCCUGGGACCCU